rnacentral:rRNA from 2 species
ACCUGGUCUUGACAUCCACAGAACUUUCCAGAGAUGGAUUGGUGCCUUCGGGAACUGUGAGACAGGUGCUGCAUGGCUGUCGUCAGCUCGUGUUGUGAAAUGUUGGGUUAAGUCCCGCAACGAGCGCAACCCUUAUCCUUUGUUGCCAGCGAUUAGGUCGGGAACUCAAAGGAGACUGCCAGUGAUAAACUGGAGGAAGGUGGGGAUGACGUCAAGUCAUCAUGGCCCUUACGACCAGGGCUACACACGUGCUACAAUGGCGCAUACAAAGAGAAGCGACCUCGCGAGAGCAAGCGGACCUCAUAAAGUGCGUCGUAGUCCGGAUUGGAGUCUGCAACUCGACUCCAUGAAGUCGGAAUCGCUAGUAAUCGUGGAUCAGAAUGCCACGGUGAAUACGUUCCCGGGCCUUGUACACACCGCCCGUCACACCAUGGGAGUGGGUUGCAAAAGAAGUAGGUAGCUUAACCUUCGGGAGGGCGCUUACCACUUUGUGAUUCAUGACUGGGGUGAAGUCGUAACAAGGUAACCGUAGGGGAACCUGCGGUUGGA